rnacentral:SRP_RNA from 1 species
GCCAGGUAUGGUGGCGCACACCUGUAGUCCCAGCUAUCUGGGAGGCUGAGGCAGGAGAAUUGCUUGAACCCAGGAGGCAGAGGUUGCAGUGAGCUGAGAUGGCACCACUGCACUCUGGCCUGGGUGACAGAGCGAGACUCUGUCUCAA